AGAACUUGUGUUUCUUUUUAACUUGUGGACAAAGACUUAAGGACAGCUCCAAAAAACAUAUCUUCUUUUGCAACUCAGAACUCACUGUUCAGUAUGAGUUCUGAUACAUUUAAGGAUUAUACA